ACAGGUGUGCGUACGUAUGUAUAUUAAUGUAAGUACGUGUCGUGCACGUCUCGUCGCGACCCCACCUCACCAUUACAACACUGACGUCCCGCCUACCUUCGCCGUGCAACCAUGUCGUAUACCUUGAUUUCGUGAUUCGUCGCGCACCUUUUCGGCUCGUGGGUAUGAGACAUAUCGUAUCGCAGCAGCCAUGAGUUCCGAAGACACAAUUGAUAAUGCGACGGCAGCUAAUCCUAGUGUAACUAUGAAUUGGGUCCAAUUUGAAGAUGAAACGGGUCCAAAAGAAACUACAGAUAUAGAAAAGAAAGCUAACAGUAGCACAGCUGCUGUAAUAAAGCCUGAGUCAGUUACGGUGCAAAUCGAUAAGAUUAAUAAAAGUAUCGAUCCUGAUAUUAAUGAUAAGAAACCUAAUGAGUAUAAAGGUGCUGUGAUAGCAACCGAAUCCGUCCAGAUUAAUUUAGAUAGAUCAGGUUUAAGUCGUUCCAUUACAUCUGAUAUUCCGGAUCUUAAAUUACCGUCUGAUGUUAGAACGUCAGAGCUCAAGAGCGCUUCUUUAAAAACUAUUGAUUUAAGAGAUGUAUCUAAUGGUAGAAACACAAGCAAUGUUGUCAGUACAUCUAUCGGAAAUAUUAGACAGGGUUUUGCCAAUGGUGAUACUAUUGUUACUCUUUUACCAGUAAACACUAAAUGGCCAUGGAUUACUCCAGCUAAGUUUAGGCCAGAAUUAGUACCAGAGGAGCUGAUGGCACAAGGAUUAACGCUUACAGUGGAAGAUUAUGUUCACAUAAUGGAGUUACUUGUGAAUGAUGUGCGGUUCAAUAUGUAUAACAUAUGCUACAAGAGGAUUCUUGUCCUUUGGAUAUUCACCGCCUUUGUUGUAUUACUUGGUCUGCUAUUUUCUGGUGUAACUGGUCUUACUUUAUUCGGGCUCGGUAUCAUGUGGUUGAUCCUGAAUGCAGCUGCAAUAUUCAUUUGCAUGUUUAUCAAGAUAAAACUCAAUCACAAUCUCGAGAAAUGUAUGGCACAAGUCAACAAACAUUUAUUAAAACACAAAAUAUUAUUGGGAUUAGAUGACAGAGGAAAGAUCUCCUGCCAUAAAGUUAACUUGUGCUUCAUCUAUUUUGAUACUACCGAUUGUGUUAAAAAGCUACAAGAAGUGAUAGAGCGAGAAGAACGUGAAGGUAGAGUAAUUGGCGGUGUUGGUGAUGAUGGAAGCGAAUUAAACCGACAACGAGAAUUACAGCAGCGUAUGGACAUUGAUGACAGUGACAUUGUUAUACAAGGCAGCACUACUACAAGAAUUUCUCGUAAACAAGAACGGGCGGAGUUGCUGUUGCUGAGGUAUGCGUCUCGAUGGGCACGUCACUUUGUGCGCCGCAGACUUGAUCUGGUUAUAGACUCGCAGGAACGCAAUAGAGGCGUCAUGGGUCUGUCUGUUCCACCGCGCCAUUGUGUCUCCGCCCGUUGCCCUUGUCAAUUCAUUGAGGACCAUCUAAAACACAAGCCGAGAGCAGGACGGAAGAUGAUGAAUCUCGGUAUAUUAUCACAUCCCCAUAUCAUCAGCACAUAAAAAAUAAUCUCUAACAUUAUGUAAGUAUUGUAUGGAACAAAUUUUUUUUUAUGAUGCACUAUGAUCAAAACAAAUAAAAUUUUAACAUGUUGAAUAAAGAGGACAAAUACAGGUAUCUUUUUGUAAUAAUAUUGUCUCAUAAUAUAGAAAACACAAUUUGAUAAAUUAUUAUAUAGAUGUGUGAUACAUUUCUUCAGAUUCUAACAAAUGGUUACUAAAUCUGGUUGCAUUUAACAUAUAGGAGCAAAGGGUAUCCACCAGGAUUUACAUGGUGUGCCUAUUUUAGUGAACCUAUAAGUCGAUUUGAUAUGGUACCAAGUAUAUCACAUUGAAUAGUUUUGUCUUUACAGACUGUAAUACAGUAUUGAUUUAAUAUUUAGAUUUAAAUUUACAUAGAAAAAAAGAG
rnacentral:misc_RNA from 1 species